rnacentral:rRNA from 3 species
CACUAUCGUUAACUGAAUACAUAGGUUAACGAGGCGAACCGGGGGAACUGAAACAUCUAAGUACCCCGAGGAAAAGAAAUCAACCGAGAUUCCCCCAGUAGCGGCGAGCGAACGGGGAGCAGCCCAGAGUCUGAAUCAGCUUGUGUGUUAGUGGAACGGUCUGGAAAGUCCGACGGUACAGGGUGAUAGUCCCGUACACCAAAAUGCACAGGUUGUGAACUCGAAGAGUAGGGCGGGACACGUGGUAUCCUGUCUGAAUAUGGGGGGACCAUCCUCCAAGGCUAAAUACUCCUGACUGACCGAUAGUGAACCAGUACCGUGAGGGAAAGGCGAAAAGAACCCCGGCGAGGGGAGUGAAAAAGAACCUGAAACCGUGUACGUACAAGCAGUGGGAGCACCUUCGGGUGUGACUGCGUACCUUUUGUAUAAUGGGUCAGCGACUUAUAUUCUGUAGCAAGGUUAACCGUAUAGGGGAGCCGCAGGGAAACCGAGUCUUAACUGGGCGUUAAGUUGCAGGGUAUAGACCCGAAACCCGGUGAUCUAGCCAUGGGCAGGUUGAAGGUUGGGUAACACUAACUGGAGGACCGAACCGACUAAUGUUGAAAAAUUAGCGGAUGACUUGUGGCUGGGGGUGAAAGGCCAAUCAAACCGGGAGAUAGCUGGUUCUCCCCGAAAGCUAUUUAGGUAGCGCCUCGUGAACUCAUCUUCGGGGGUAGAGCACUGUUUCGGCUAGGGGGUCAUCCCGACUUACCAACCCGAUGCAAACUACGAAUACCGAAGAAUGUUAUCACGGGAGACACACGGCGGGUGCUAACGUCCGUCGUGAAGAGGGAAACAACCCAGACCGCCAGCUAAGGUCCCAAAGUCAUGGUUAAGUGGGAAACGAUGUGGGAAGGCACAGACAGCCAGGAUGUUGGCUUAGAAGCAGCCAUCAUUUAAAGAAAGCGUAAUAGCUCACUGGUCGAGUCGGCCUGCGCGGAAGAUGUAACGGGGCUAAACCAUGCACCGAAGCUGCGGCAGCGACACUAUGUGUUGUUGGGUAGGGGAGCGUUCUGUAAGCCUGCGAAGGUGUGCUGUGAGGCAUGCUGGAGGUAUCAGAAGUGCGAAUGCUGACAUAAGUAACGAUAAAGCGGGUGAAAAGCCCGCUCGCCGGAAGACCAAGGGUUCCUGUCCAACGUUAAUCGGGGCAGGGUGAGUCGACCCCUAAGGCGAGGCCGAAAGGCGUAGUCGAUGGGAAACAGGUUAAUAUUCCUGUACUUGGUGUUACUGCGAAGGGGGGACGGAGAAGGCUAUGUUAGCCGGGCGACGGUUGUCCCGGUUUAAGCAUGUAGGCUGGUUAUCCAGGCAAAUCCGGAUAAUCAAGGCUGAGGUGUGAUGACGAGGCACUACGGUGCUGAAGUAACAAAUGCCCUGCUUCCAGGAAAAGCCUCUAAGCAUCAGGUAACAUCAAAUCGUACCCCAAACCGACACAGGUGGUCAGGUAGAGAAUACCAAGGCGCUUGAGAGAACUCGGGUGAAGGAACUAGGCAAAAUGGUGCCGUAACUUCGGGAGAAGGCACGCUGGUGUGUAGGUGAAGUCCCUGCGGAUGGAGCUGAGACCAGUCGAAGAUACCAGCUGGCUGCAACUGUUUAUUAAAAACACAGCACUGUGCAAACACGAAAGUGGACGUAUACGGUGUGACGCCUGCCCGGUGCCGGAAGGUUAAUUGAUGGGGUUAUCCGUAAGGAGAAGCUCUUGAUCGAAGCCCCGGUAAACGGCGGCCGUAACUAUAACGGUCCUAAGGUAGCGAAAUUCCUUGUCGGGUAAGUUCCGACCUGCACGAAUGGCGUAAUGAUGGCCAGGCUGUCUCCACCCGAGACUCAGUGAAAUUGAACUCGCUGUGAAGAUGCAGUGUACCCGCGGCAAGACGGAAAGACCCCGUGAACCUUUACUAUAGCUUGACACUGAACAUUGAGCCUUGAUGUGUAGGAUAGGUGGGAGGCUUUGAAGCGUGGACGCCAGUCUGCGUGGAGCCAACCUUGAAAUACCACCCUUUAAUGUUUGAUGUUCUAACGUUGGCCCCUGACCGGGGUUGCGGACAGUGUCUGGUGGGUAGUUUGACUGGGGCGGUCUCCUCCCAAAGCGUAACGGAGGAGCACGAAGGUUAGCUAAUCCUGGUCGGACAUCAGGAGGUUAGUGCAAUGGCAUAAGCUAGCUUGACUGCGAGCGUGACGGCGCGAGCAGGUGCGAAAGCAGGUCAUAGUGAUCCGGUGGUUCUGAAUGGAAGGGCCAUCGCUCAACGGAUAAAAGGUACUCCGGGGAUAACAGGCUGAUACCGCCCAAGAGUUCAUAUCGACGGCGGUGUUUGGCACCUCGAUGUCGGCUCAUCACAUCCUGGGGCUGAAGUAGGUCCCAAGGGUAUGGCUGUUCGCCAUUUAAAGUGGUACGCGAGCUGGGUUUAGAACGUCGUGAGACAGUUCGGUCCCUAUCUGCCGUGGGCGCUGGAGAAUUGAGGGGGGCUGCUCCUAGUACGAGAGGACCGGAGUGGACGCAUCACUGGUGUUCGGGUUGUCAUGCCAAUGGCACUGCCCGGUAGCUAAAUGCGGAAGAGAUAAGUGCUGAAAGCAUCUAAGCACGAAACUUGCCCCGAGAUGAGUUCUCCCUGAGACUAUAAGUCUCCUGAAGGAACGUUAAAGACGAUGACGUUGAUAGGCCGGGUGUGUAAGCGCAGCGAUGCGUUGAGCUAACCGGUACUAAUGAACCGUGAGGCUUAACCUU